rnacentral:rRNA from 1 species
AAGCGGUGGAGCAUGUGGUUUAAUUCGAUGCAACGCGAAGAACCUUACCUGGUCUUGACAUCCACAGAACUUAGCAGAGAUGCUUUGGUGCCUUCGGGAACUGUGAGACAGGUGCUGCAUGGCUGUCGUCAGCUCGUGUUGUGAAAUGUUGGGUUAAGUCCCGCAACGAGCGCAACCCUUAUCCUUUGUUGCCAGCGGUUCGGCCGGGAACUCAAAGGAGACUGCCAGUGAUAAACUGGAGGAAGGUGGGGAUGACGUCAAGUCAUCAUGGCCCUUACGACCAGGGCUACACACGUGCUACAAUGGCAUAUACAAAGAGAAGCGACCUCGCGAGAGCAAGCGGACCUCAUAAAGUAUGUCGUAGUCCGGAUUGGAGUCUGCAACUCGACUCCAUGAAGUCGGAAUCGCUAGUAAUCGUAGAUCAGAAUGCUACGGUGAAUACGUUCCCGGGCCUUGUACACACCGCCCGUCACACCAUGGGAGUGGGUUGCAAAAGAAGUAGGUAGCUUAACCUUCGGGAGGGCGCUUACCACUUUGUGAUUCAUGACUGGGGUGAAGUCGUAACAAGGUAACCGUAGGGGAACCUGCGGUUGGAUCACCUCCUUA